GCCGAAGUGGCGGAACCGGUAGACGCGACGGACUCAAAAUCCGUUUCUGGCGACAGAGUGUGGGUUCGAGUCCCACCUUCGGCACCA
rnacentral:tRNA from 1 species